GACGAACGCUGGCGGCGUGCUUAACACAUGCAAGUCGAACGGACAGGCCCUGCUCUUGUUGGUUGCUCGAGUGGCGCACGGGUGAGUAACACGUGAGUAUCCUGCCCCUGACUUUGGGAUAACUUCUCGAAACUCGGGCUCUUACCGCAUAGAAGCUCCUGCUGCAUGGUGGGGGUUGGAAAGUUUCGGCGGUUGGGGAUGGACUCGCGGCUUACCCGCUUGUUGGUGGGGUAGUGGCUUACCAAGGCUUUGAGGGGUAGCCGGCCUGAGAGGGUGACCGGGCACAAUAGGACUGAGGUACGGCGCAGAAGCCUACGGGAGGCAGCAGUGGGGAAUAUUGCGCAAUAGGCGGAAGCCUGAUGCAGCAACGUCGCGUGCGGGAUGACGGCCUUCGAGUUGUAAACCGAUGUCGCCGGUGAUGUGGAGUGAGUGACGGUAAUGGGUAAGGAAGCACCGGCUAACUACGUG
rnacentral:rRNA from 1 species